rnacentral:rRNA from 1 species
GACGAACGCUGGCGGCGUGCUUAACACAUGCAAGUCGAACGGAAAGGCCCUGCUUUUGUGGGGUGCUCGAGUGGCGAAAGGGUGAGUAACACGCGAGUAACCUGCCCUUGACUUUGGGAUAACUUCAGGAAACUGGGGAUAAUACCGGAUAGGAGCUCUUGCUGCAUGGUGGGGGUUGGAAAGUUUCGGCGGUUGUGGAUGGUCUCGCUGCUUAUCAGCUUGUUGGUGGGGUUGUGGCUUACAAGGGCUUCGACGGGUGGCCGGCCUGAGAGGUUGACCGGGCACCUUGGUACUGCGGUACGCCCCAGUCUCCUACGUUACGCAGCAGUCGGGAAUAUUGCACAGUGGGCGGAAGCCUGAUGCAGCGGCGCCGCGUGCGGAAUGACGUCCUUCGGGGUGUAAACCGCUUUCUCCUGUGACGAGGCGUGCGUGACGGUAAUGAGUAAAGAAGCACCGGCUAACUACGUG